AAGAUGGUAUCGCUUGCGAACCAUACUUCGCCGGGAAUCAUCAGGUUUCCUUUUUCCUUAUUCAGAUUUAAGAGCGUGAAAAGUUCAAAAAGGACAUUCUGCUCUGAGCCGUAAGGACCGAGACAGAGGA
rfam:Bacillus thermozeamaize isolate ZCTH02-B2 BIN02_NODE1312881525, whole genome shotgun sequence.